AAGUCGUAACAAGGUUUCCGUAGGUGAGUGGCCUGUUUUUCAUAACACCCUCACCCCCAACUUCCGAAAAGCCCGUUCGUAACUGCAUCGUUGUCCUGUCUCUGUCAACAAGGAACCGAUGCAUCCGACAAGUUACUUGGGCCGUUGGGGGUAGAUAGACAAUACCACACCUCUACACCACUCUCUCUGACCUGAAUCUUUGCUUAACUCUCUUCUUUUAGGUGAACCUGCGGAAGAUCAUUACCGAGUUAGGGUCCGUUUUGGGACUCGACCUCCUACCCUUUGUCUACCUUACCAUAUGUUGCUUCGGCGGAUCCGUCCUCUAGGGGACCGCCGGAGGGGUUUCAAACCCCCUCUGGCCCGUGUCCGUCGGUGGCCUUAACCACAAACUCAUGUUGUAAACGUGUCGUCUAAGUAUCAAAACAAAAAAUAAGUAAAAACUUUCAACAACGGAUCUCUUGGUUCUGGCAUCGAUGAAGAACGCAGCGAAAUGCGAUAAGUAAUGCGAAUUGCAGAAUCCGUGAGUCAUCGAAUCUUUGAACGCACAUUGCGCCCUUUGGUAUUCCGAAGGGCAUGCCUGUUCGAGCGUCAUUAUCACCCCUCAAGCCCUCGGCUUGGUGUUGGGCUGGAUUUGUCACAAAAUCGGCCUCAAAGACAGUGACGGCGUCCCAGAUGGAACCGGUACGAGGAGCUUUUAACUAAGCAUGUACGCGGCGGGAAUCUGUGGGCGGCGGUCUUUAACCACUACUCUUCGGAGUAUCUUUCCAAGUGUUGACCUCGGAUCAGGUAGGGAUACCCGCUGAACUUAA
rnacentral:rRNA from 1 species